GCAUUUACAAGAGAGACGAGGCCUAAAUGGAGUGCUCCCAAGGCUGGCUGGGUUAAACUUAGUUCUGAUGGUUCUUAUGCAGAAGAUGGCUCAGCAGGCGCUGGCAUGGUGUUGAGAGAUGACAAGGGUGAGAUUAUUUUUUCCUCUUGUAGGCAACUUUUUUCAUGUCGAGAUGCUCUUGAAGCGGAAUUAUGUGCAUGCAUGGAAGGGUUGUCGUUUUCGAUCCAGAAAAGUGAGCUUCCUAUCGAGAUUGAGAUGGACUCUAUUGUUGCAGUUAAGUUGAUCCAGGCAAAGGAGGUGGAUAGAUCAGUUUAUUCAUCGCUCAUUAAGGAGAUUAGAUAUCUCAUGUCUAUUUGUGAUUCGUGUAUUACUCAUGUUAAUCGUAGCCAAAAUAAAGUUAGUGAUAGCAUAGCUAGAUUUGCUCGUUUAGAAGGCAGAACCAUGACUUGGAUCGGUUCGGGUCCUACGGCUGCUAUGGAGCUUGCUACGACUGAUUGUAUG
rnacentral:rRNA from 1 species